GACGUAGGGCGCGAGCGUUGUCCGGAUUUAUUGGGCGUAAAGAGCUCGUAGGCGGCUUGUCGCGUCGGCUGUGAAAACCCGCGGCUCAACUGUGGGCGGGCAGCUGAUACGGGCAGGCUGGAGUUCGGUAGGGGAGACUGGAAUUCCAGGUGUAGCGGUGAAAUGCGUAGAUAUCAGGAGGAACACCGGUGGCGAAGGCGGGUCUCUGGGCCGAUACUGACACUGAGGAGCGAAAGCGUGGGAAGCGAACAGG
rnacentral:rRNA from 1 species